rnacentral:rRNA from 1 species
UACGUAGGGGGGCAAGCGUUGUCCGGAAUCAUUGGGCGUAAAGAGCGUGUAGGCGGCUCGGUAAGUCCGCUGUGAAAGUCCAGGGCUCAACCCUGGAAUGCCGGUGGAAACUGUCGAGCUAGAGUCCGGAAGAGGCGAGUGGAAUUCCUGGUGUAGCGGUGAAAUGGCGCAGAUAUCAGGAGGAACACCAAUGGCGAAGGCAGCUCGCUG